rnacentral:rRNA from 1 species
GAUGAACGCUUGCGGCGUGCCUAAUACACGCAAGUCGAGCGAACAGACGAGGAGCUUGCUCCUUUGACGUUAGCGGCGGACGGGUGAGUAACACGUGGGUAACCUACCUAUAAGACUGGGAUAACUUCGGGAAACCGGAGCUAAUACCGGAUAAUAUUUCGAACCGCAUGGUUCGAUAGUGAAAGAUGGCUUUGCUAUCACUUAUAGAUGGACCUGCGCCGUAUUAGCUAGUUGGUAAGGUAACGGCUUACCAAGGCAACGAUACGUAGCCGACCUGAGAGGGUGAUCGGCCACACUGGAACUGAGACACGGUCCAGACUCCUACGGGAGGCAGCAGUAGGGAAUCUUCCGCAAUGGGCGAAAGCCUGACGGAGCAACGCCGCGUGAGUGAUGAAGGUCUUCGGAUCGUAAAACUCUGUUAUUAGGGAAGAACAAACGUGUAAGUAACUGUGCGCGUCUUGACGGUACCUAAUCAGAAAGCCACGGCUAACUACGUGCCAGCAGCCGCGGUAAUACGUAGGUGGCAAGCGUUAUCCGGAAUUAUUGGGCGUAAAGCGCGCGUAGGCGGUUUUUUAAGUCUGAUGUGAAAGCCCACGGCUCAACCGUGGAGGGUCAUUGGAAACUGGAAAACUUGAGUGCAGAAGAGGAAAGUGGAAUUCCAUGUGUAGCGGUGAAAUGCGCAGAGAUAUGGAGGAACACCAGUGGCGAAGGCGACUUUCUGGUCUGUAACUGACGCUGAUGUGCGAAAGCGUGGGGAUCAAACAGGAUUAGAUACCCUGGUAGUCCACGCCGUAAACGAUGAGUGCUAAGUGUUAGGGGGUUUCCGCCCCUUAGUGCUGCAGCUAACGCAUUAAGCACUCCGCCUGGGGAGUACGACCGCAAGGUUGAAACUCAAAGGAAUUGACGGGGACCCGCACAAGCGGUGGAGCAUGUGGUUUAAUUCGAAGCAACGCGAAGAACCUUACCAAAUCUUGACAUCCUUUGACCCUUCUAGAGAUAGAAGUUUCCCCUUCGGGGGACAAAGUGACAGGUGGUGCAUGGUUGUCGUCAGCUCGUGUCGUGAGAUGUUGGGUUAAGUCCCGCAACGAGCGCAACCCUUAAGCUUAGUUGCCAUCAUUAAGUUGGGCACUCUAAGUUGACUGCCGGUGACAAACCGGAGGAAGGUGGGGAUGACGUCAAAUCAUCAUGCCCCUUAUGAUUUGGGCUACACACGUGCUACAAUGGACAAUACAAAGGGCAGCGAAACCGCGAGGUCAAGCAAAUCCCAUAAAGUUGUUCUCAGUUCGGAUUGUAGUCUGCAACUCGACUACAUGAAGCUGGAAUCGCUAGUAAUCGUAGAUCAGCAUGCUACGGUGAAUACGUUCCCGGGUCU